UACAGAGGGUGCGAGCGUUAAUCGGAAUUACUGGGCGUAAAGGGCGCGUAGGCGGUUGUAUAAGUUAGAUGUGAAAUCCCCGGGCUUAACCUGGGAAUGGCAUUUAAUACUGUAUGACUAGAGUAGAGUAGAGGGAAGUGGAAUUUCCGGUGUAGUGGUGAAAUACGUAGAUAUCGGAAAGAACACCAGUGGCGAAGGCGGCUUCCUGGACUCAUACUGACGUUGAGGCGCGAAAGCGUGGGUAGCAAACAGG
rnacentral:rRNA from 1 species